rnacentral:rRNA from 1 species
CGUGUAGGCGGCUCAUCAAGUCUGGUGUGAAAUCGCAGGGCUUAACCCUGCAUAUGCGCUGGAAACUGGUGGGCUUGAGUUCUUGAGGGGAAGCUGGAAUUCCAGGUGUAGGGGUGAAAUCUGUAGAUAUCUGGAAGAACACCGGUGGCGAAGGCGAGCUUCUAUCAGAGGACUGACGCUGAGGCGCGAAAGCGUGGGGAGCAAACAGGAUUAGAUACCCUGGUAGUCCACGCUGUAAACGAUGUGCACUAGGCGUGGGGCCCGUACGGGUUCUGUGCCGUAGUUAACGUGUUAAGUGCACCGCCUGGGGAGUAUGCUCGCAAGGGUGAA